UAAUACGUAGGUGGCGAGCGUUGUCCGGAAUUAUUGGGCGUAAAGGGCACGCAGGCGGCUGUUUAAGUCCGGUGUGAAAGGUUGCGGCUUAACCGCAAACGGGCACCGGAAACUGAAGAGCUUGAGGGCAGAAGAGGGGAGCAGAAUUCCACGUGUAGCGGUGAAAUGCGUAGAGAUGUGGAAGAAUACCGGUGGCGAAAGCGGCUCUCUGGUCUGCACCUGACGCUGAGGUGCGAAAGCGUGGGGAGCGAACAGG
rnacentral:rRNA from 1 species